UACGGCGGCAGCGAUGUCGCAGGAUGGGCUGGGAGAAGUCAGCAGAGGCCAUAGUAGUCCGGGCGACCGGACGAAGGGC
rfam:Sphingopyxis bauzanensis strain DSM 22271 NODE_1_length_1336319_cov_55.7391, whole genome shotgun sequence.